rnacentral:ncRNA from 1 species
AGAAAAGCAUUGACAGGGAAGAGUACAGUGCAAGCUGCCUAAAGAGAGGAAAACCCCAAGCUGAAAGGUUUUCCAGGCAGAAUCAUUGGAAGGUCGCCCUUGAGCUUCUUUCGCGAACAGAACGUGUUCACAGUAGCGAAAGACGGGAAAACCGUUAUCAGAUUAAGCGCCUGGCAGGAUUGCAUUACUUGCCCGGAAAAAAGGUGGUACCGCGAAAUCAGCUCCAUUCGUCCUUUUA